CCCCUUUCCCCAGAUCCUUGCUCGUGAAGAUGCCUGUCCAAUUCGGCCCGACUCCCGUGUCGCUCCCGUGGGCGGCCCGGGAGUAAAAACCCAAGCCGCCGCCAGUUCCUCACCUCCGGCCACUCUCCCCUCACCGCCGCCAGCAUGGGUCGCCGGGCAAAGCCCGCGCGGCCUGGCGGCGGUGGGCCCUCUCCACCUCCGCUUCCGGGCUUCGCGGCGCGGGCCGCUGGCCUCUGCUGGAGUUCUUGGGGACGCAUCGCUCGAGGCAGCACGGCAAGACAGCGGGGCGGCAAGUCGACGGCGCGGCGCAGGGUGGCUCUGGCGCGCAGGUCGCGGUGCGGGAUGGUUCUGGCGCCCAGGUCGCGGUGCGGUCGCACGCGGAUCUGGCGCCUGGAGGGUACGCGGUGGGCGGGGCGUCUGCACCUGGAGGGCGCGCUACGGCGCAGCUCGGCUGCGCACGGAGGUGCAGCGCGGGCGCUCGGGAGGUCCGGGCGGCCCAGAUCUAGCGAGCGCAGCGGCAACGACUUGGGCGGCGCGACCCCCUCUCCCUUCCCUUGACGGGAUCUCAUCCGCGGAGCUUCUGGCGGCGCGGCGCGCCUAGGCUCUGGCGGCAGCCCUGUUCUGUGGAGGUGGCGGUGGUGGGCUGGCUUCGUCCGGUGGUGCUGCCUGGGUGGCGGCAGCUUUGGGCGGCGCGUCUUCCCUCCCUACCCCAGAUGGGAUCUCGUCCGGCGGAGUUCCUGGCGGUGCAGCGCGUCCAGGCUCUGGUGGAAGCCCUGUCCGGUGGUGGUGGUGGUGGUGUUGGGCAGGCAGGCGCCCUCGGAGGCUGCUGGGCACUUGGUGGUGCUGGCAGCUGCGGUGUGGUUCGGCGGGGUGGUGCCGGCUAUCCUGGCGAUGGUGCGGCUGUUCACAAGUGGCUCCUUCGGCAAGGUGCUGCGGCAGUAGCGAUGUGAAUCAACUUGGACGGUGCGGCCCCAUUCCGAUGGGUUGGAUUGUAGGUGUGCGGCGAUACGGAUGAAAAUCCAGCCCAGCUUUGGUCGGUGCCAGCGGCGACGGCACCUGUGGAUGUCGUUCACCUUCCUGAAGGCGUCGCUGUGGUGCAUCGACACCUCGCUCCCUCUCAUUUGGUAUGUUGUCUCCGGGCGAAAGCCUUGAUUCGGUUGCGAAUCGGUGAUGACGGCGUCAUUGGCGUCGUUCCUC